ensembl:lncRNA
GAAAAUCUCCAUGCUUUGCAGCAAGAGGUCGCAACCCAAUAUCUCAAAAAGUGGUACUGAUCAUCCAUGAUCUCCAUUCAUCUUGGCUCCACCCCCGCUCGUUACCCGGUUCAGCUGUUUCCACUCAUCUCCAAUCCCAUCAUGCCCUUCUGUCAGUAUACGUACCCCUGUGUUUGUUUCACCUGGGGGGGGGUCACUCUGGUUGUGUGUAUGUGAGUGCUGGUGUAUGGUGAGGCAGUUAGUGCUGGUGAUUUGCUGUACUGUAUAUUCAAUUAAUUGUUUUUUCUUUGUUCUUUUUCUUACAGGGGGAUGAGGAGUAGUUUAGCCCUACUCUGGAGUUUACAUACCUGCACGUAGGGUUACUCUCCUGUCUAACAACACUAGCUACACCUGGCUGGGCCACUUACUGUAAAUUUGGGUAGGGUGCCUUGUUAGUGUGCCAGUUAGUUAAUGAUUUUCGUUGCGAGAUAGUACAGGUAAGUGGGUGGGCGGCAUUUUGUUCUCCUCUUUGCUUUGGUACCGCCAGCCCUCCUCGUUUCCCCUGUUAACUGGGCUUAAAUAACCCCAACUUCAAGGUCCCUCACAAAAAGAAGCUAUAUUCAGUUGUCACAUUUGUAGUUAUACUGAUUUAGCAUCAGAGAAGGAUUAUUUUUCUCAUAUAAAUGGACAUCUCAAACGAAAUGACAGUCAUUUGUAUGUUUUUAGGAUGUGACUUUAAGACAAACAUUUAUUGUACUUUUAAAUCACAUAAAAACCGAAAACACUGUCAUCAAACACACUAGUUGAUUUUAAACCCAGAAGUAGUUAUAACUACAAGGAUAUCAUCUGCCAACGAAUUGGAAGCAAACCGUGAGGAGUGUGUUGAACAGUCAGAUACUUUCAUUCCUUCAAACAGUCAUUCUCAUACAGAAGACUUGCAUAAGGUCAUUGAGCAUAGAUUUGCCGCAGCUUUGCUGAAGUUGGAACAUUUGGUCCAUAUACCCACUUCAGCUGUAGAUGAAUUUCUACGCUGAAGUUAGUUUGUGUGAACACUACCUCUUAGUUGCCCAAUUCAGAUUGUGCCACAUUUUGUUUACUGGUUUACAGUAAAAAACAACAAAAAAAACAUUACUGUUUUUUUGCUAUUGAGGAUGCACUUGUGCAGUACUAACUGUUCAGUUUUUGAACUGCAAUAAGAGAUUUGUAUUUUGAAUGCUGCUGGUGUAAUAAUGGUUACAGCUUAGUAUUUCUAUGCUAAAAUUACUAAGUGUGUGUGUGAUUUCUAAAGUUUUAUGGAAGAAUACAGUAUUUUUUCAAUGCAAUCGGGUUUGAUUUUUGUAUUUCAACACAAAACUGAUGUCUACAAUGCAUUUGGCUGGCUUUAACAAAUUAGUUUAGAGACCUAACCUGGGUUGUAACAAAAAACUGAAAUUGCUUUUAAUUUACAUAACACAUGUAAAUAAAGUUUGUUUUAUUGAAAAUCAGGUAUCCUGAACAUUGUAAAAUCACUUUCAUUCUACUUAAUUAAUUGGUGUUGCAGUAGCUUAAAAAUAUAAAUUAACUCAACUAGAUUAUUUUAAAUACCGGAAUAUGAUUAAAAUCGUUCGGUUUAACAAGUAAUAAUUCAUUGAGAAAAAGAAGGAAAUGUUGUCAGUCAUACGCAUUCUUAUCAUGUGGGACCGAUGUACACAUUAAAAUCAAAUAAAUCCAAAGGAUUAUUUUUUUACUAUAGUAAAAGUUCUACUUUUCAAGUAAUAGUAUUUUAAAAAUACAUCACUCGUAUUUGAGAGGCACGAAGUGCAAAUAAGCUUUUCACUUCGUGCCUCUCAAACCGC